rnacentral:rRNA from 1 species
AGAGUUGAUCAUGGACUCAGGACGAACGCUGGCGGCGUGCCUAACACAUGCAAGUCGAGCGGGGACAUGCGACGGAUAGGAAGAUUCGUUGGACUGAAGAUGCAUGUCUAGCGGCGGACGGGUGAGUAACGCGUGAGCAACCUGCCCCUUACAGGGGGAUAACACAGCGAAAGUUGUACUAAUACCGCAUAAGACCACGGGAGGACAGUCCUUCAGGGGGUCAAAGGAGGAAUCCGGUAAGGGGUGGGCUCGCGUCCGAUUAGAUAGUUGGUGAGGUAACGGCCCACCAAGUCGACGAUCGGUAGCCGACCUGAGAGGGUGAUCGGCCACAUUGGGACUGAGACACGGCCCAAACUCCUACGGGAGGCAGCAGUGGGGAAUAUUGGGCAAUGGGGGGAAACCCUGACCCAGCAACGCCGCGUGAGGGAAGAAGGUUUUCGGAUCGUAAACCUCUGUCCUUGGUGAAGAGGAAGAGACGGUAGCCAAGGAGGAAGCCCCGGCUAACUACGUGCCAGCCGCCGC